UCUACUGCCGCAAGGACAUAGAUAGAAUUCAAGUGGUAGGGAAGAUAGGAAAUUGGGUUUUCUAGAUCUAGCCACCAUUGAGGGGAAUAUUCAGAUCAUUCUGCUUACCAGUUUGAGUUGUCCUUCCGUCAAUUCCUUUAAAUUUCAACCUUGCGACUAUACUUCCUGAAACCCAAAAACUUUGAUUUCUCGUAAGGUGCCGGCGGAAUUCUAAAAGUAAUAUCCGCCGAUCUCAUCGUAUAUAAAUUGAAAUCUAAGGAUAGAAUCGCCUAUAUAUAAUUUUUAUAUACUCUAACAUUGUGCCUAGAACCAUUAGACGCAAUUGUAGACAGAGAUAUUAACUUUUCUUUUACGCUUGGGGAUAGAAGAUGCAGAUCACAUUGUUGCCGGCAAAAAAUUCAAUCAGAAGAUAAGCAUCAUUCAAAGUAUUUAAACACGACUUAAGGGGUGAAACAUACAUUCUCGAAAUGAAUUAUAAGAAAUGAUGAAAAUGAAAAACAGGCGUACCAUAUAUCUGUUGUCCGAAAUGAUGGGAAACACGAUAUUGUAGUGAAGAAGAUGUCACAACAAUAUACUCAAAACCCAUCAAGAGAAAUAAUAAACCACCAAUUGAACCAACGUAUAAUUUAUCUUUAUAAGAACGGCUGGAGGGUUGGGUAUCCAAAUAAGAAAGCGUAAUAAUUCAAGUUUCACCGAUAAGUAUUAUAUCCACCUACAAGCCUCGCAUACGCUUCGUUGCCUUAAAGAAGUUGCAUUCUUUAUACUCUAUGGAUGUAAGAUGAAACAUCUUCGUGAGCAGAUAAAUUUUAAAAGAAAGGAUACAAAAAGACAAAGAGAUGUAGAUUUUUGAAUGGCUUUCGAACAAUCCAAUAGUGGUUUGUAACUUAUUGAUUAAUUCACAUUUAUCAAAUUUCUAUUGUAAAUUGUAUGAUUACUGCCCUAGUGAUAUUCGGCUCCUCUUUACAUAUGUAUGUAUUUAUGUAUAUAUGUGAUGAGGAUGAGGAGGGGAUUUUAUUAUCCGCAAGCUAUAAUUGCAUCGUGAAGAGGAGGAAACUGGAAAAUGCCAUUGGGGAGAAUGCUUUGCUGGAAAAAUUCAGAUAUUUUGGAAGAGAUAGAUGGAGUACAUAUUUUUCCUUUCUCUUUCAAUGAUUUGAUGAUGAGUAGGAGCUGUCUUCCUAAAACUCUGCGUCGACACAGCCACAUCGAAGCCCUCUAUGAGCUCGGUCACUCUCCUUCCUACCUAAUUCAUUCAUAAUGAAGUGAAAGUAUAAUGAUGCAUUGGUUUAUGUAAUAAUUAUCUCGAGAAGAUUAAAUUUUAUAUCAUGCAAUUAUGGUAUGUGAGUAGGUAUGGUAAAAUAAUU